UACGGAGGGUGCAAGCGUUAUCCGGAUUUACUGGGUUUAAAGGGUGUGUAGGCGGACUAUUAAGUCAGACGUGAAAUCCCCAGGCUCAACCUGGGAACUGCGUCUGAUACUGGAUGGCUUGAAUCCGGGAGAGGGAUGCAGAAUUCCAGGUGUAGCGGUGAAAUGCGUAGAUAUCUGGAGGAAUACCGGUGGCGAAGGCGGCAUCCUGGACCGGCAUUGACGCUGAGGAGCGAAAGCCAGGGGAGCAAACGGGG
rnacentral:rRNA from 1 species